ensembl:misc_RNA 7SK 7SK RNA
GGAUGUGAGGGUGAUCAGACUGCAACAUCAGCCACCCAUCAAUCGCCAGGGUUGAUUCGGCUGGUCUGGCUGGCUAGGCGGGUGUCCCCUUCCUCCCUCACUGCUCCACGUGCAUCCCUCCCGAAGCUGCACGCUUGGUUGAAGAGGACAACCAUCCCCGAUAGAGGAGGACCCGUCUUUGGUCAAGGGUAUACGAAUAGCUGCGCUCCCGUGCUAGAACCUCCAAAGAAAUAGGAUAGGAUUUGGUGAUGGUUAUGUACCACCUCGUUACCGUAAAGAAGUCCUAAUCUCUACAUGCUGUAUUA